rnacentral:rRNA from 1 species
GUCUGUGGUCAUACUGGCCUGAACAGGCCCCAUCUCAUCUGAUCUUGGAAGCUAAGCAGGGUCAGGCCUGGUUGGUAGUACUUGGAUGGGAGAUUGUUUAACGUUCUCUAAGUAGUCCAUCAAGUAUUCGCUGUAG